rnacentral:lncRNA from 1 species
UGGGAGGGGUUGAGAGAGCGGUGGCGGCGACCGGAGGAGGAGAGGGGCCAGGAGGUGGAGAGAAUGCGGGAGGGGAGGACAUGGGAGAGGAGAAGGGUCUGGAGGGAGGGGAGAUUGCCCGGUUCGAGGAGAAACCUGCGGAACUCGGGGUCGAGCUCCCGCUCCAUGGCCUCGUUGCGGGGGGCGAGGAUGGUGAGGUUGUGGCGGCCGACGGCGUCUUCUAGGGUUGGGAGGAGGAGGGCCUUCUCCACCAG